AGGAUUGAUGGAGAAAGUCAGUUAUUUCAACACCAUCAAAUCUACAGGAUACCAUCCAUCACACUGUCUUAAGGUCAAGGAUACAAUAGGAAGUCAUGAACUUUAUCCUUUACUAUAAGAAAUUUACGAGUACAGAAAUGAUUAGAAAGUGGAAAAGGUACAGAACUGAUUGUUGGUUAUAGUGGAAAAUAUUUGGGGAAAUCUGACUUUACUGUGACCUUAAGACUAGAAAGAUCAGUAAGAUCCAGAUGACCAAAUGCUAAAAAUACAGAGUUUUCAGCUUAAUAAUGAGAUUUUGGAAUAGAAAAGAAGAGAAUUGAAGUGACUGGUAAUCUGAAGAUGUGACAGGAGGCAGUAUAAGA